rnacentral:rRNA from 1 species
GAUGAACGCUGGCGGUAUGCUUUACACAUGCAAGUCGUACGAGAGUUUUUAACUCAAGUGGCGGACGGGUGAGUAACACGUAAGAAUUUGCCUUUAGGAGGGGGAUAACAACUGGAAACGGUUGCUAAUACCCCAUAUGCUUUCGAGUGAAAUGGAUUUUUCCGCCUAAAGAGAAGCUUGCGGCUGAUUAGCUUGUUGGUGAGGUAAUGGCUCACCAAGGCGACGAUCAGUAUCUGGUUUGAGAGGACGAUCAGACACACUGGAACUGAGAUACGGUCCAGACUCCUACGGGAGGCAGCAGUGGGGAAUUUUCCGCAAUGGGCGAAAGCCUGACGGAGCAAUACCGCGUGAGGGAUGACGGCCUAUGGGUUGUAAACCUCUUUUUCUAGGGAGGAAUAAAUGACGUGUACCUGAAGAAUAAGCAUCGGCUAACUCCGUG